GUGGCUUAAUUUGACUCAACGCGGGAAAUCUUACCGGGUCCGGACACACUGAGGAUUGACAGGCAAUAUAUGUGACUCUUCGGAGUUUGCAUUGUUAAAUAUGCUAGUCCUUUCAUGAUUAUGUGAUAGGUGGUGCAUGGCCGUUCUUAGUUCGUGGAGUGAUCUGUCUGCUUAAUUGCGUUUCAAAUUACUUAUAAGGUAGCAAUACGCGAUGAAGCUUUCAAUAGUCCUCACGGAUUCACUUGAGUCUCUCGCUUCGCUAUCCUUUCGAAUGCAACGAACGUGACCGCAACCUCUUGUUGCCUUCGUUUAACAUCCUGCAGCUCGCUGUGGGUACUGAGGGCUUCACUCGGUGACUUUGGGCUGAGCAAUCGGUCUUUUGAUCUGAGUAAACUAGAGGGACCGCUGUCAACUUCUUAAACCAGAGGAAGGUUGCGGCAAUAACAGGUCUGUGA
rnacentral:rRNA from 1 species